rnacentral:tRNA from 1 species
AGGGCUAUCGCCAAGCGGUAAGGCAACGGCUUUUGAUGCCGUCAUGCGCAGGUUCAAAUCCUGCUAGCCCUGCCA